rnacentral:rRNA from 1 species
UACAGAGGGUGCGAGCGUUAAUCGGAAUUACUGGGCGUAAAGCGUGCGUAGACGGCUAUCUAAGUCGGGUGCGAAAGCCCCGGGCUCAACCUGGGGACGCCACCCGAUACUGCUGUGGCUAGAGUCCAGUAGGGGAGCGUGGAAUUCCUGGUGUAGCGGUGAAAUGCGCAGAUAUCAGGAGGAACACCAGCGGCGAAGGCGGCGCUCUGGGCUGGAACUGACGCUGAGGAGCGAAAGCGUGGGGAGCGAACAGG